GGUGGCCACAGACACAACACCUUCUUCUACGUCUUCAGCUACGUCGGGGAUGUCGGUGAAGCGGCGAAGCGUCUGGGUAGUGUACACGGCUCGGAGCUGCCGUACGUGUUCGGUGACCCGCUGCUGCCGGCGGCGGAGACGGGCAUCCGCUACACGUCCGGCCAGGCCGACCUCAGCCGCGCGGUCGUCGCUCUCUGGACCAACUUCGCCAAGACCGGGGACCCGAACGGGCCACGGCAGGAGGCGCGCGCCGCUCUUAGCGGCCGGGAGCGGAGCCGAUACAGAGCCGUCACCUGGCCGCCCUACAACGCCACGCA